rnacentral:rRNA from 1 species
AUUGAACGCUGGCGGCAGGCCUAACACAUGCAAGUCGAGCGGAGCGGCGGACGGGGGAGUAAUACCUAGGAAUCUGCCUGGUCGUAGGGGAUAACGUCCGGAAACGGGCGCUAAUACCGCAUACUAUCAGAUGAGCCUCGGUCGGAUUCGGUAUUGGUGGGGGUAAAGGCCUACCAAGGCGACGAUCCGUACCUGGUCUGAGAGGAGGAUCAGUCACACUGGAACUGAGACACGGCCCAGACUCCUACGGGAGGCAGCAGUGGGGAAUAUUGGACAAUGGGCGAAAGCCUGAGCCAGCCAUGCCGCGUGUGUGAAGAAGGUCUUCGGAUUGUAAAGCACUUUAAGUUGGGAGGCGGUACCAACAGAAUAAGCACCGGCUAACUUCGUGCCAGCAGCCGCGGUAAUAC